AUGACAUCCUUUAUGUCACAUCAAUGAAAAUUCUAAUCCAUCUAAUAGAUUUACCCAACUGUGAGCAAGAGUCAGCUUCGGUAAUGUAAGCCCUCAGCAGAUACAACAACGAGCCAUAUUCAAGUUGUAGCACAAAGUUCGUACAGCCGUGAUUAUUCCCGAACACCUAUGCAGUAGGAAAUGCUUGACAGGCAAAUGGCUUUCUGGCAACUGCCAUAUAGCUUCUUAUUGCAUGAUGGAACAAGGAUUCUCCAUCAUCGUCAAGUAUGUUACACAGGGUGGAACGCUGCUGAAAGAAAGCAGGGACAUGGCGAACAGGACUUCGGAAAAUGUCUACCCUAAGGGUGAUGAUUACAUUUGUCUUACCAUUAAUCAGCUGUAGGAUAAAACUUGAUGAUUUCCCGGGUAAAACUGUGUUGCUAAUGUAAUGUUACGGAUGCCUCCUAAUCUGUCCAGCAGUCAUUUUCAAGGAUGAUCAAAUCAGGAGGUUAAGAAGAACACAUAGAGCAGCCAGCCAAUGACACACAAUUUAACUGUUUGAUAACUUUUUGGAAGGACAUUGUAUGACGGAGGAUCAGCCAUUCAAAGUGGCAUUUUAUGAUUGGGCUGAAUCACAUUUCUGUUAUUCUGUGGCUGAUAGAUGGACCGCUACUGAUUAACUUUUUUUGCAUAUCGCCUGUCGACGAUUUCACAGCCUCACGCAAUUAAAGAACGUAUGACAAAAAGCAAAAAUGAUGUAUUCGGAGCAGAAAAAUGAAGGUGUAAUCCAUUUAACUGAAAUAGGCACACGACAACGCUCAAUCGACGUCCUUGUCUCAGUGGAGAAUUUUUUCCGUGAAACAUAUGGCCGAAAUAAUAUUGCAGUUGUUCAACAAAGAAAACUGUAUUGUCAGACAGCAUUAAUGUUUAAUAGCUUGAA